rnacentral:rRNA from 1 species
AGAGUUUGAUCAUGGCUCAGAAUGAACGUUGGCGGCGUGGAUUAGGCAUGCAAGUCGUGCGCGAAUCGUAGCAAUACGAGGAAAGCGGCGUAAGGGAGAGGAGUUACGUGGGAAUAUACCCUUGGAACUGGGAUAGCGGCGGGAAACUGCCGGUAAUACCAGAUAAUGUCUUCGGACCAAAGGUGUGAAUCCGUCUAGGGAGUAGCCCACGUCCUAUUAGCUUGUUGGUGGGGUAAUGGCCUACCAAGGCAAUGAUGGGUAGCGGGUGUGAGAGCACGACCCGCCUCACUGGGACUGAGAACUGCCCAGACACCUACGGGUGGCUGCAGUCGAGAAUCUUCGGCAAUGGGCGCAAGCCUGACCGAGCGACGCCGCGUGCGGGAUGAAGGCCCUUGGGUUGUAAACCGCUGUCGUAGGGGAUCAAGAGAUGAGGGUACUCCCUCUGAUUUGAGUGAUCCUAGAGAAGA